GGAAAGUGAGGCAGCUUCUCAUUACUCUCCGUUGAGCGGGACACAAGAGGCUCCGUCCUGGGUUAGCAUGCAGAGACGGAGAGGAAGAACAGAGAGGGUGAGGAGGCGACGUCGAAGCUCUGGCUCAAGAGGAGUGAAUGAGAGCUGCAGAUCUGAAUUUAUAGAGCUAAGAAAAUGGCUGAAAGAGAGGAAGUUUGAAGAUACAGGCUUAUUAGUACCUGCCUGCUUUCCAGGAACAGGAAGAGGGCUGAUGAGCAAAGCGUCGCUGCAGGAGGGCCAGGUGAUUAUCUCACUGCCUGAGAGCUGUCUGCUCACCACGGACACUGUGAUCCGAAGCUCCGUAGGGCCCUACAUUAAGAAGUGGAAGCCUCCGGUGUCUCCUCUGCUGGCUUUGUGUACCUUUUUGGUCUCAGAAAGACAUGCAGGCAGUCAUUCCCUCUGGAAGUCUUACCUGGACAUUUUACCCAAGUCAUAUACCUGCCCGGUGUGCUUGGAGCCAGAAGUGGUGGAUCUUCUUCCGGGACCUUUGAGGGCGAAGGCGGAAGAGCAGAGAGCCCGCGUGCAGGAUUUGUUUGCCUCCUCUAGAGACUUCUUCUCUACCCUGCAGCCUCUGUUUGCAGAGUCUGUGGACAGCAUUUUCAGCUACCAUGCCUUCCUCUGGGCCUGGUGCACAGUGAACACCAGAGCUGUGUACCUGAAGUCUAGGAGGCAGGAGUGCCUUUCCUCAGAGCCGGACACGUGUGCCCUUGCUCCGUUCCUGGAUCUGCUGAAUCACAGCCCACAUGUCCAGGUGAAAGCAGCAUUCAACGAGAAGACCAGGUGCUAUGAGAUUAGAACAGCCUCUCGCUGUAGGAAGCACCAGGAGGCGUUCAUCUGCUACGGUCCCCAUGACAACCAGCGGCUGCUCCUGGAGUAUGGCUUUGUUGCCUUUGGCAAUCCUCACGCAUGUGUUCCUGUCUCAGGAGAGAUGCUGCUCAAGUACCUCCCGCCAGCCGAUAAGCAGGUGCACAAGAAGCUGUCCAUCUUGGAGGAUCAUGGCUUCACAGGAAAUUUGACGUUUGGAUGGGAUGGACCAUCUUGGAGGUUGCUCACAGCUCUCAAGUUGUUGUGUCUGGAAGCCGAGCGGUUUACGUCCUGGAAGAAGGUGCUCAUUGGUGACGUAAUCUCCGAUAGGAAUGAGAAGGCAAGCUUGGGCGUGGCCCAGAAAAUAUGCUCUGAUUUCAUUGCGGAGAUUCACUCCGAGCUGCGCAAGGUUUCUGACAUGAAGGAAAGGAAAGGAUCGCUGAUAAGUCAGCUCUGUUUGGUGGAAGCUUUGCGGAUGGAAGAGCUGCGGAUUCUUCAGGCUUCUGCUGAGAUCCUGAGUAGUUCGCUGGCCCCCUUGUCCUGAGUUCUCGGGAUCACGUGGCCCCUCCCAUGGAGGGUGCUCCAGCUGCAUUUUCACUGAGGGUUCAAGAAAAGAGGCAGACAUUUUAGCAGUCUGCGACCUUCAAGGACCCCGAAUGGAAUUAAGACUGACAGAGCUUUGGGGUUCCUCAGGCAGCCAGUGCUGCUGCCUGGAGUCCUCACUCUCUUUGAUGUCCCUUCUUCCCAAGAGCUUGAGUUCUCUCUCUCCAUGGAGCCCAGCAAGACAGUGGGUGCAAAGCAGGCGGGGUUCAAACAAUAUUUGACCCUCUUUCCUCGUACAUUAGAUGUAGAAGCUAACACGAAAAUAGUUUGUGUUGGCUCGCCUUUUAAAUACAUUCGUGUGUGCAACGUGUGCAUGAAUGUGAAUGUGUGUGUUCAUGCCUGUGUGUGUGUGCAUGUGCAUGCAUGCUGUGUGUGUUCUUACCUGUGUGUGCAUGCCUGUGUCUGUAUGUUCCAUAUGUGCUUAUGGCGGUCAGAGGACAACUGGUGGGCAUUGUGUCUGUCCUUCUGACAUGUGGUCCCUGAGAUUAAGCUCAGGAUGAGAGGCUUGGUGGCAAGUGCCAUCCCCCAUUGAGCCCUCCUCCAUAGCCAUACUAUUCAGCCUGCACUCCACCCCACCCCCACCCAUGAGUGCUGAGGAUGGACCCCAGGUCCUUGUGCUUCCACAGCACCUGGUUGUCUGGCCCCCUAACACAUGGUUCUGUUUUUAACACCUGCAGUGUAUCUCAUGAUAGACUAGGCCAGAGUUGGGCAAAAUUUCUGUAGUGGACCAAAUAUGAAAUAUUUUAAGUUUUCAGGCUCUUAAUCCUUGCCCUGGGUGUGUUGUAGACAGAAUCAAGGCCAUAGCAAGUCACCUAGCUUUGUUUUCAAGGACAGGUAGUGGGCUAUAGUUUGCCUCUGUGCUACUUGAGAAUUUCUUCUUCCGAUCCCCCUUGGUAACUUAGUAAUAUUUUUUUUACACCAUUCAAAAUGAAAGCCCCUCAAACCUCAAAACUUUCAUAGACACCAUGUGGUUUUACUUGUUUUAUUUCUACUUGUAUUGUUAUUUUUAACUUCUGGUUGAGGGUAGGGCUGCCUUGCAGGCUGGGCCUCUGGGUGCUCUUGCUCAGGGUAGAGGUGGCUGUCUAGGCCUGUGGUUCUGAGUCUGAAGGUCGCCAGUCUCAGGCUAGAAGGUCUGUAGUUGGCCAGCAGGAAUCCUGCCUUACAUGGCAGGUUAAUGUCUGGUCACUUUGUCCCUAGAGAGAAAGUAGAACAAACACAUGUUGGUUUCUUGGCCGGGAGCUACACCUGGGACCUUUGUCAGGAAUGCUACAAGCUGGGUCGCAUUUGUCCGCAGUUGUCGCACGUACGCAUGUGUGUGUGCAGAGUGCAGAGUUCGAAGGAGCUCCCAGGUGAUCUCUGCCUGUGCUGAGUUUGAAGACUAGUGAUGUGGAAUUCUGGAGGAGUCCUGCAUGCUUCCGAGUCCUUUUCUGAACUAUUGACAAGUGACAUCCAGCAAACUCCACCUCAGAUCCCUGUGUAAUUUGCCUUGAGAGUGAUAUGAAGCAAGUCUUCUCGGUGGAUUCUGCUUGCGAGGACCAGGGCUAAAUGGGACCUUGGCAUUAUCUUUCAGAGCCCUCAUUUGUGGUGGAAGCCUCAAGAGUUUGAGAAACACUCUCUGGGCAUCCGUAGGUUUAGGCUCAGAAUCCAUGUCUUUGCCAGUUUUGAUGGGUUUCCCCCUUCCUGCAUCCACCUUCAGACUGUAUGGUCUAGAUGCCCUUCUUCAGGAGUCCCUGGGACCAUCUGGAGCCAGGAAGCUGUGGGAGGAGAAAGAGAAGUGGUGCCCUCCACCCAAGAAAGGGGGCUGUCAGUCUGUGCCGUCUCUCAGUUUUCACAGUAUGAAGGACCAAGCAGCUUCUUUUAGUGAUACAAGCUCAGGCAUAAAGUCACAAGUGACCUGGUCUACAUCACACUCCGAGAUCAAAACACAGCAUAAAGUCACAAGUGACCUGGUUCUCACAUCAUACUCCGAGAUCAAAACCCAGAAAUGUCUAGUGUGUUCUCUCUCUCUCUCUCUCUCUCUCUCUCUCUCUCUCUCUCGUGUGUGUGUGUGUGUGUGUGUGUGUGUGUGUGUGUGUGUGUGUGUGUGGUAUAAUGGGCCACACAGAGCCUUCCUCACAGUUACUGGGACAGUAAACAAUUUCAGUCCAACUCAGGGAGGCUCUAAACUCCUUCAGAGGGAGGUCAGAAUGUGGCUGCAGACGAAGGUCAACCCCAAGGGGGUGCUCUGACUGCAGAGGCAUCUUUGGUCAGUCUCUGAAACCUGUUUUGUUAUUUUGCCUCCAAGAUCUUAUCUGUACAUCAGAUUCCCACUAGCAUCCUCUAAGGUGACGUAGAUCAGUCCUGAAGAGGAGUGCUAGGGUGUGGGGGCCAUUAAAGCUCCCAGUGUUUAGCUGUCUGCAGUGUCCUCUCUGAGCCUCUGGGAUACAGGAGCAAGCUGCUGUAACUUUCCCAGCUGGACCGUCCUGGUUUCAAAGACCUUCAACUAUAAUAGUUUUGGAUGAGAGAAGAGAGAGGCUAUUAUUACACAAUCUCUUAACUAGUAGCAUUUGGUGCUGGGUAAAGAGGCUUCCAGUAUACAAAUAAUAUACUUGAUAUUUUCUCAGGAGACUACCUCUCGAAGUUCACGGAUGCAGUCUUGAGUCAUUCCAUCUUCGUACACGAGGUGGCGCCAGAGGACUGUUGCACUAAGAAAGCCGCUAGAGCUUUUGGGCUCUUACCAAUUCAAGUCACCAAAGGUUUUCCUCCUAGUGCUCCCCAUAUUAGCAGGACGCAAAUGAGGCAAUACGGUUCCGUUUUGCUUUUGGGACAAAAGUCAGAUGGUUACGUUCCUUUUGGGAAGCAGUAACUAUUUGACCAGCGAUGUGUGGGAGCAGAUGAAGUUCAAUUCACCGAUAUGAAGCAGGGGCUUGGCCAGUAUGUGGGGUGAGUUCAGGGUGGGGAAGGGGCCAACCUUGUUGCUCUAAAGAUGAGCCUUAAGUAAAUGAAUGAUGUCUUCAGCCUGCAGAGAAGGACCAAGCAGACACUAACUUCCUAACUGAGAAUUUAGACACUACUCGAAGGACAGGCAAACAUAAGAGCUGCCUUUAAGGGGCUGACUGGACCACCCACACAAAGUCCUCAGGGCCUCAGAGGGCCUCAUCCGGUAGAUGUUCCUAGAAGGAUGCAUUUUGUGGAGAGCUGGAAAGAAUCUGUUUCUGCAGACAGAUGACUUGGCCUUAGUUAGGGGUGUGCUAGAUCUGAGGACCGACCUUCAAGGUGUUCUUGUCUUUUCUGUCUAUAGGCAGCUGACAGACUGCAGAUCACUGUGGGCUGACUUAGUCCUACCUCACCCCGGCUUCAUACCAUUGGCCUCAGAAAAAAACAAACAAACAAACAAAAAAAACCCCAUGGCUGGCCGAGCUUCCUGAACUUCUGUUGUUACCUGCUGUCAUGUCCUGGAUUUACUGUGCUGAAUGGGGAGCUACUGUCAUGUUUUUUCCCUCUUGGUCCUCUCCCUUCCCUCUCUCCUGUUGAUUUUGGUCCUUGGGCUUUCCGUAUGGUUUGUUUAAAGGCACAGUGAUCUGAUGAGGCCCUUUUCACAGCACUGGGAUCCUAACUAGAAAAGUGUACAUUACCUCUUCCUGAUUGGAGCAGCCUUGCUGGUUGCGUCUGGGAGUCAGCUCUUACUUUAAUGGCAUUCAGUUGGUGAAGCCAGUGGUUUUGACUGCUUUCAUUCUAGCACUCCUUAGCCCGGGUUGGGAGUCCUGGCUCACCCACACACAAUUGGUGGGCAGUUUUCAAGGGAGCUCUUUGAAAGAAGACAGUAUUUCUGAUACCGGUAGGAGGGACGCGGUACAGUCAGUGGACACUGCUGGCCCUGUCUUUGUCCUUUGAGUGUACCACAGAAGGCUCUUGUGUCUAUACAACCUGCCAUGCCCAGGAGAGGUAAAAGUCUGAGCUGCAGGCGAGUGACUGGCCCCAGGGGUUUGUGUGUAUUGUAUGUAGUGCCCAACUGAAUCUAUAGUUUCUGCAUCUGAGAUUCAAUCAACCUUGCAUCGAAAAUUAUUUUGUUUUGCUUUCUGCCACUGUGGUAAAAACACUAACCAAAAGCAACGUAUGGGGGGCAAGGGUUUUACUCCACCUUAUACUGUCAGGUCACAGGAUCACUGAGGGACAUCAGGACAGGAACCUGAGGCCGAACUGCUUGCCAUUCACAAGCAUUGUCUCCAAACUGGGAGCUCACUCCCAUCCAAGGACGCACAGCAGGACACAGGGAGGCAUGCUGUAUGCUGGCUUCCUGUCUGGCUUAUGCCCUGAUAACUUUCUUGUACACACAGAAUUACCUACCUAGGGGCGGUACAGCUUGUAGUGACCUGGGCCUUCCUACACCAAUCAAUAACCACGACAGUCUACACAGGUCAGUCUGAUCUAGGCAAUGCCUCAAUCCCCGCUUUCCUCUCAGAUGACUGUGAGAUGUGUCAGGUCAGCAGUGAGUGGUAACUAAGUCAACAGCACACCUAUUUAUACAGCGUUAACGCUGCACUAAGCUUUAAAUAGCAAAGACGAUUUAAAACACACACGUGUGGGCGAUUUGCAAAUUGUUUGCCAUUUUGUGUGAGGGGCUUAGUAUCUGCAAGGGGAUCCCAUGGAUGCUGGGAAGUAGCUUUACCAGCCUUGUGGGUCGGUCCGUGUGUCCAUCAGUAAUCCAUUCAGACAUACUGUGGCUCCCCUAAAGGGGGAGGGGCAGCUCUGCUUAGAGGACUCCGAGUGGUAACAGUUAUGUCUUGGGGCAUAACUGAUCCCAAAUAUGGCUGGUAGGAUGGGCUGAGGCCUCUGGGCCAUCACCCUACCAUGCACGUGCUCAGGAAGUUGGGCUGCAGGUUCACGGACUGCCUAACACAACACUUGAGUUUUACCUCCAUCCUCUCACAAAGCUGUCCCUUCUUUGCCCACAGCCACUGAGUGGAAGGAGAUGCACAGGCUUCUUGUUCAUCCAGUCUUUCCCCUGGCUGCUCUCUGCUGCCCUUCGGUGCUUGUGGUCAAGUUUCACUGGAUUCUUUAAGAGUGAGGGACAGGGAAGAUGGUGAGAGCCAGGAGUGGGGCUGGCUUUGUCUUUGUUCUGUCUGUAGGUACUGGGGCUUCUGGGAAGGAGGGAGGGAGGGAGGGAAGGGAGGAGAGAGGGCCUGAGCACUCUGAGGAACCAGACAGACGCACCUCCAACACUGUUGGGCCUUUUCUUUCUCUGGGCUUCAGUCCACUCUGCGUGUUCUGACAUGUCCACAGCUUGCAAGGGGAGCUGCAGACAGCUGCAGACACGCUGGCUGGCCAACCUCAGGGUAUUGUUUUCAGCUAUUAGCUCAUGGUGCAGAAUGAGGGCUUGGUGGCCCUCUUUGUUUGUGAACCUCUUUUUGCUCUGCAAAAGGGGAAGAGAGAACACCGUCAAACAAAAGUCAGCUCAGAACCCCAGAUCACACGGGACCCGUCCCAGGCAGGAAGUGAGGCCUCACUGGGAACGUGUAAGUUACAGUAAGUUCUCAGCAGACUGAAAACCCUUUCAUCACGUUCUGUCUCCCUGCCUCCCAACUCUUUUACUUCAUCUACGACAUCGCUCAAGCACAAAUGGCGUUUGUCAGGGGUAAUCGGCCAGCCCCGGAGGCUGUGUUCAAGGCUGCCUAGAUGGAGUAUCUCAAAGCAGUUGUCCAUGUUGAAAGAAAACAUUACAUUUGAUCUUCCUGGAAAAUGAUUUCUGCAGACACCGUGUGUGUCUGCGCUCUUUAGCCUUCUAAGCCCUUUCUACCUGGGGUGGGGGUGGGGCCCGCAGGAAAUGGCAGUUCGCAGUUAAUUUUACAGUACGUCUGCAGAAACCAGGGCAAUGAGAAGCCAUCUGAAACACAACCAAGGUUUGUUUUUAUUAGCCGACUGACGAACCUGAACAGGUGUGCAGGUUGUUAAACGUUGAACGGCAAGCUCAUGCUUCACUGUGUCUACAGGGAUAUUUAUCCCCCUGGAUGAGGUAGAUAUAAGGACGGCUGCAGCCAUUCAUGAGACGGUGUCUCGCCUACACUUGGCGCCCUCUGUAGACUACCCACCUCUCAGAUGCACGGCAUCCAGGAUACAGACAGCCAGGGGGACCCAUCGAUGCAACUGGGCAAAAUGCGACUCUACUGUUCUUGUUUCAGUAUUUCUUUUUCAUCUAGCUGAAACAGGGUAGAAUCAUUUUGGAAGAGGAACCCCAGUUGAAGAAUUGUUGGCUCCAUCAGAUUGACCAAUAGGCAAGUUUGUGGAGCUGUUGUUUUCUCCAUGUAUAAUGGAUGUGGGAGUCCUGCCCACUGAGUAGCGCCACUCCUGAGCAGGGGCUCCUUAGUUGUAUAAGCAAGGUAGCCCAGCAAGCUGGGGGAGUAGGCCAAUAGUCAGCGUGCCUGUGGCUCCUGCUUCAGCUCCUGGCCAGGUUCAGGCCCACUUCCCAUUUACAAUGUCUGUCAGCUGUAAGUCGAAAUAAGCCUUUUCCUCAAGUUGCCUGUAUUCAUGCACAGGGACUGAGACUGUGGGUUGAGUCAGGACUGGGCCCCUGAAACCUGUGGUCACGUGAUCCAUUGUAUGGAGAGUUUCCUCUGCUCAGGACUGGAGUAUGGUUCAAGUCAGAAACCUGAGGUGGAAGUUCACACAAGCAGUGUAAAUGUGUCAUCUUCCAUAUCCUAGUGCAUGUAUGCUUAUGUACAUGUGUGUUUAUGUGCAUGUGUGCUUAUGUGCAUGUGUUUAUGUGCAUGGGUAUUUGUGUAUGUGAUUGUGUGUGUGGGUGUUUAUGUGCACGAGUGUUUAUGUGUAUGAGUGUUUGUGUGCUUGGAUAUCUAUGUAUGUGUGUGUGCUUAUGUGUGUGGAUGUUUGCUUGAAGUUGAAAUAGUUUAGUGGCCAAGGACACUAGAGGACUGCACUUGCCACCUUGUGUCUCCUAUGGUUGGAAUAAUUCUUUGAUGUUAUAGAAAGCACUAGACCUGUUUUUACAAAUAAAGUACCCCCUAAUGGACAAUUUUUUUCACCAUGAUAGAGUAUGCAUAGUACCAGAUUUGCCAUUUGAGACUGUACAGUCAGCGCUCUGAGUACUUCCACAGCGGGUUGCUACUCUGUCUCCUUUCAAGAUGUUUGUAUUCUCCAAGCAGAAGCUCUGCACCCAUCUCCAGUAACCUCCAGUCCCCUGUUUCUACAGGUGCUGGUACUCUCUAUUCAUCAGUAACUGACACCCCAAUCCCUUAUUCCCACAGGUGCUGGUACUCUCCAUUCAUCAGUAACUGACACCCCAAUCCCUUAUUCCCACAGGUGCUGGUACUCUCCAUUCAUCAGUAAUCCUCCCUCCCCAUGUCUGUUUUUUCCUACAGGGACUAGUACCCUUCAUUCACCAGUAACCCCAACCCCACAGUGGCAAUCCCAUCCCCUCUUGUAUCUGUCUUUGUGAUAUCACAUCAGUACAGUUGUUACCAAAGUCCGCACCCUAAGCAGCCAGGUUCAAACAUGUAUGCUUGAGAAGCCAAUGAAGAUAGCCAAACUAAUAGUAAAAAAGCAGAAAAGAGAGAUACAUUCAAUGUGGCCACCUUUGGAAGAGAAACAAAGAGAUCCGACCUUGUCCUUCUAAGUUCUAGAGAGGAAUUCCACUCUCUUGGGAUCCAUUGUUUGAAUAAUGUGGUAGUCAGUUUGAGGGGUACAAUUUCAUCUUUAGAAAUCCAUUUCUAGGCUGGGGAUUUAGCUCAGUGGUAGAGCGCUUGCCUAGGAAGUGCAAGGCCCUGGGUUCGGUCCCCAGCUCCGAAAAAAAAAAAAAGAAAUCCA